GAUGAACGCUGGCGGCGUGCCUAAUACAUGCAAGUCGAGCGAACAGACGAGGAGCUUGCUCCUCUGACGUUAGCGGCGGACGGGUGAGUAACACGUGGAUAACCUACCUAUAAGACUGGGAUAACUUCGGGAAACCGGAGCUAAUACCGGAUAAUAUAUUGAACCGCAUGGUUCAAUAGUGAAAUACGGUUUUGCUGUCACUUAUAGAUGGAUCCGCGCCGCAUUAUCUAGUUGGUAAGGUAACGGCUUACCAAGGCAACGAUGCGUAGCCGACCUGAGAGGGUGAUCGGCCACAGUGGAACUGACACACCGUCCAGACUCCUACGGGCGGCAGCAGUAGCGAAUCUUCCGCAAUGGGCGAAAGCUUGACGGAGCAACGCAGCGUGAGUGAAGAAGGUCUUCGGAUCGUAAAACUCUGUUAUUAGGGAAGAACAAAUGUGUAAGUAACUAUGCACGUCUUGACGGUACCUAAUCAGAAAGCCACGGCUAACUACGU
rnacentral:rRNA from 1 species